AGGGUUUGAUCCUGGCUCAGGGUUAACGCUGGCGGCGUGCCUAACACAUGCAAGUCGAACGGUUCUAAGCGCGAGCUUAGGAUAGUGGCGAACGGGUGAGUAAAAGGUAGGAAUCUACCCCUUGGACGGAGAUAGCUACUGGAAACGGUAGGUAAACUUCGAUAAGCCCGAGAGGGGAAAGUGGUGAGACAGCCGAGGGAUGAGCCUACUCUCCAUCAGGUAGUUGGUGAGAUAAAAGCUUACCAAGCCGAUGACGGAUAACCGGUGUGAGAGCAUGAACGGUCACAAGGGCACUGAGAGACGGGCCCUACUCCUACGGGAGGCAGCAGUGGGGAAUCUUGGACAAUGGGCGAAAGCCUGAUCCAGCGACGCCGCGUGGAGGAAGAAGUCCUUCGGGAUGUAAACUUCUGAACUAGCCGAAUAAAAGGCCUGUGGACACACAGGAGAAGAAAGUAGGCUAGGAAAAGUCCCGGCUAACUACGUGCCAGCAGCCGCGGUAAGACGUAGGGGGCAAGCGUUACCCGGAAUUACUGGGCGUAAAGGGGGCGUAGGCGGUAAAAGAAGUCAUCUGUGAAAACCUAUUGCUCAACGAUAGGCUAGCGGAUGAAACUGAAUUACUUGAGGGCACCAGAGGUAGACGGAAUUACCCGAGUAGGGGUGAAAUCCGCAGAUACGGGUAGGAACGCCGGUGGAGAAGUCGGUCUACUGGGGUGCACCAGACGCUGAGGCCCGAAAGCUAGGGGAGCAAACCGGAUUAGAUACCCGGGUAGUCCUAGCCGUAAACGAUGCUCACUAGGUGUAGGGAGUGAUAAACUCUCUGUGCUGAAGCGAACGCGCUAAGUGAGCCGCCUGGGGAGUACGUCCGCAAGGAUGAAACUCAAAGGAAUUGACGGGGGUCCGCACAAGCGGUGGAGCAUGUGGUUUAAUUCGAUGCAACGCGAAGAACCUUA
rnacentral:rRNA from 1 species